rnacentral:lncRNA from 1 species
GCGAAUGCCCUGCUUAAACAGGAUCAAGCCAUGAAAAUGCAGCAACCCCUGUUUCAACAGCAGCAAUUCAUGGCUGCACAGCACGCAGCCCUGCAGGAGGCGUUUGCUCAGUUCAGAGCUAAUAUGCAGGGUUCCACUUUGUCGGAUCUUCCUCCACUUCCACCUCUUCCUACUUUCAACUUUGUAAGUCUUCCAACUUUUCAAUCAUGCAUCUUACCAUCCUGCUUAAAGAUCAUGCAUCUUAUAAUCUCACUGUUUCGGGCUUGAGGUGCUCUCAGUCGGGACAAGGCUCCAAUAACUGUGUGGUAGGUGGACCUACACCUGGCCAAGCAAGCCCAGUGACACCCACUACGGCUCAUGUCGCUUCGAUCUCCCCGCAACAAUGAUCACUCGAGGUAGUUGUCUAUGUUUGUGCAUUGUUGAUGCUUGCGUCUUGUCGUUGCUUGUGCUUCUCAACUUACAACUUGUGCAUUGUUGAUGGUAGAGCCCACAAGUGUUGAUGCUUAUAUUGUUCAUACUUCUUAGCUUCAAUUUGAACCUUAUAUGUUGAUGCUUGUUGACUCUUGUGCCUUAUUGAUCUUUGCAACUUAACUUUAGAAACUCAUGCAUGUGAUAAUGGACUUGUAGGUUUGCAUCGUGGAUGCCGUUGACGGUGGACAUACAUGCUGCGGUGGAGCUCAUUGCAUCUUUUAGGUUCAUGCUUGGUGUGAACUUGGAACUCAUGGUCCUUUCAUUUGUGAACUUCUGGUUACAUGUAUGUUGUUGUGAACCUUCGUUGGAUAUGUAUGCAUGUGUGGACUUGGAACUCACGGUCCUUUCGUUUGUGAACUCUUGUUGCAUAUGUAUGCAUGUGUGGACUUUGAACUAAUGGUCCUUUCGUUUGUUAUGGUUGUCAACUUGUAAUAUAUUGUUGUUGUGAACCUUCAUUGGAUAUAUAUUGCUUGCUUGUUGGAUAUAUACAUUGCUGGAUAUAUAUUUGUUGGAUACAUACAUUGCAGGAUAUACAUUGUUG